UACGUAGGGGGCAAGCGUUGUCCGGAUUUACUGGGCGUAAAGCGCGCGUAGGCGGAACGAUCAGUCCGGUCUGAAAGCCCCCGGCUCAACCGGGGAGGGUGGCUGGAAACUGUCGUUCUUGAGGGCGAGAGAGGAGGGUGGAAUUCCUGGUGUAGUGGUGAAAUGCGUAGAUAUCGGGAGGAACACCAGUGGCGAAGGCGACUUCCUGGCCUGUUCUUGACGCUGAGGCGCGAAAGCUAGGGGAGCAAACGGG
rnacentral:rRNA from 1 species